rnacentral:lncRNA from 1 species
AUGGGCUCAUUGGCCAAGCACCUGGACAAGAGCGACCCCAAAGUGAAGCCCAUUGUUGCCAAGCUCAUCGCUGCCCUUUCCACCCCCUCCCAGCAGGUCCAGGAGUCUGUGGCCAGCUGCUUACCGCCUCUUGUGCCGGCCAUCAAAGAAGACGCUGGAGGGAUGAUCCAGCGGCUCAUGCAGCAGCUGCUGGAGUCAGACAAGUAUGCGGAACGCAAAGGGGCUGCAUAUGGGCUGGCAGGCCUAGUGAAGGGCCUGGGCAUCCUCUCUCUGAAACAGCAGGAAAUGAUGGCAGCGCUGACGGAUGCUAUCCAGGACAAGAAGAACUUCCGUCGGCGAGAGGGGGCCCUCUUUGCCUUCGAGAUGCUGUGCACCAUGCUGGGAAAGCUCUUCGAGCCCUACGUGGUUCAUGUGCUGCCCCAUCUACUACUGUGUUUUGGGGAUGGGAACCAGUAUGUGCGUGAGGCUGCAGAUGACUGUGCCAAGGCUGUGAUGAGCAACCUGAGUGCUCACGGGGUGAAGCUGGUGCUCCCCUCCUUGUUAGCUGCCCUGGAGGAAGAAUCCUGGCGGACCAAAGCCGGUAAGACCACUCCUUUCUGUCUGUCAUUCUUAGCUCCCUGCUCUGAAAACUGCCUUAGCAGAGAUCCAGGUAGCCACAGCUUUUGUCCUGUGUGUGUGGUCCCCAGCCCAGGGACAAGGCCGAGACUGCCUUUGGCAGCUUGGUUCUUCCAUAAUUUGUAUGUAUUCAUGUCCAGUACAGUUCUGACUCCCUAAGAGCCUCCACCCUAAGUCAGGAAAUCCUGACCUUGAAAGCUUUCUAUGGCUUUAAAACCUUCUUCAUCCAGUAAAACUUUUGAAAAAUAUUAUCUUAUCUAGAAUGCAAUAUAGAAAACAGAUACAAGCGGUGCUGCCCAGGCUUGGGGAGGGUGAAGGUUGGACCUUCCACUUGGCCUCCCUUUUGGCCCUCAUCC